UUUUAAAUUUUUGAGGUGGUUAAAUUUGCUCAUGUAUGUUAUUUAAUUUAAGAGUUUAUAGUAUUUUGUAAUAAGAGCCGUUGUCGCAAAAAAUAUACAAAUAAAGGAGAAAAGAGAAAGAUACAGACCAAUCCUAAAAGGCUACUGUUUCUUCUCAAAUAUCUUAUCAACCGGUUACCUAAAAACCAGCUUCUCAGCAUUAGAAAUGUUCUUAGAAACAUACAGUUUAUCAAAUCUCCAAGGUCUUUGAAAAUUAAGUCUAAUAAGCCAAUUAUAGUUUGCUCUCAAACGUUUCCAGGCAAAGAUCUUAUCUACAAGGGUGGAUUAUGUAAAAAUCCCAACCACAGAUGUGUUACUGCUCUUGUAAUGGAUGUGUGGAACAAAGCUGGUUUUGGAGAGUUUAUCUUUUCUGGAUCUUUUGUCAGGGAUAAGAUUUUGAAACUCCAUACUAUGUAUUGAUACUAUGUAUUGCAAGCUAAUUUGAGAGAACUAAACUGGGAUUCCAGCACUGGUAGAUUUACUAAGAUCCAGAAAGAGUUCAUUCAGGAAAGUACCAAACUCUUCGACAUAUCUGUAGCGAGGUUUGAGUAAAAAAUACAAUCAGAUCGCCUUCUACCCAGGAUACCAAGGGAGAAGACAUUCCGUUUUUUUAAACCAGAAAAAGGAUCGAAAAAUGUAUAUAACUACAGAAGUAGACAAAGAAUUUAAAGCAUCUAUUAAAAAUAGACAGGAUCGUUGGCAGAGAAUAAAGAGUAUGAAGAUUACAACAGCGGAAAAAGAAAAGGGUUACGAACUCAUCUGCUUUCGAGUCAGAUGCUGCAGUUUUGACAGAUGAAGAUGAUGUCGAUGAAUUACGUCAAAACUUCGGUUCUACAGUAAAAGCCAAGAUAAUAAUAAAUAUUAGUCCUGAGGAUUUAGUGGAUUGUACUUCUGUGGUAUCUGCUCGGUAUAAGGUUGGAAUCUGACCUCAAACCACGAUCAUUGCAGCAAUGUGCAAUAAAGCAGGCGUGAAUCUUGAGAAUCUCCAAAAGCUCUGUUCAUCGAAAGCUCUGUUCAUCGAAAGCUCUGUUCAUCGAAAGCUCUGUUCAUCGAAAGAGAUUUAAGAUGAUUGAAGAUAUAGGUAAAAAUAACUAAUUGAAUAAAAUAAUAUGAAUAACACAAAUUAAUUAAAUUGGUAAUAAAGCUAUUUUGAAUAUUAGUAUACCAGAUAAGGCAAGAUAUAAUUGAAACAUUGAAGGGAAAGAGACUUGUCCUGCACUCCAACAGUAAAAAAAUAAAAGAGAUGGAGGAGAACCAAUAUAUUACUGCCACAGUUAAAAAGAUUUCUGUUAAUGUUACAUCAUCAAAUAUUAACGAUACAAAUGACAUCCUCCUUGGAGUAGUUCAAGCUCAAAGUUCCAAGGGAGUUGAUCAGGCAGAUGUAAUCUUAAAUCUCCUAGAAUAUUACAACAUUGUUAAUCAGAUCUUCACCACAUGCUGUGAAACUACUGCUUCCAACACUGGAGUAUUUGCAAGAGACAUUACUAUCCUCGCAAACAUCCUCAACAUUUUGUUUCUCUGGUUUCUUUGCAGACGACACAUGUUUGAGAUACACAUCUCACAUUUUAUGGAGGCUCUUGCUGGAGGAAAAACAAAGGGACCCAGGAAAGCACUAUAUUUAAGACUUCAAGCCUGGCCAAGCAUCAAGAAGGAGGUAGACAAGAGGAGGUAAUUAGGUUUGAUUGGAAUGAACUACAGGUUAGAUUAUCUCUGUACAAAUUAGCAAGGGAGGCCUUAGAGUCGCCUUCAAAUAAACUAGUUGUCAUCAAGUCAUCGUAUGAAAUAAGGGACUACUAUCCAAAACUUGGACAGGCUCUUCUUGUCAGCAUGCGGCACGCUUGGUACUUAACAGAACAUUUAGUUGUACUGGUCCUACCUGAAGAUGAUGUUAACGAGAAGGUAAAGAAAAAGAUGUUGAAAAAGUUGGUCAAGUGCUAUAUACCCAAGCAGUUUUAUAUGGGGAAGACAAAGCUGCCAGUUAUCAACAGGUUAACUGAGCUAUUUGAGCUGGUAGGUUAACAGAGUUGGAUCUUGUUUAUGGUAUCAGGUAUUCCUUUUGGAGAGGCGGAGAAGUGGUUCAAGGGAAAUGUCAGUGAAACAUUUGAUCUAUUUAAAACGUUUUUGAAAUCGAUUGAAUGUGUUAAUGACUGCGCUGAAAGAAAUAUCCAACAGAUCCAUGAUUUUGUUGGAGGCUACAGGUCGGAUAAUAUGAAACAGAACCACAUGCUCGUUGCCAAAGACAACAGAAUUAAAAAAUUAAAGAAAGAACUAGCAAAGA
rnacentral:lncRNA from 1 species